GCACUGAGGGAGCUGGCCCGAGACCUGUGCAAAGAGCCACCUGAGAUGUUCAUGGAUGAAACAUACCUGAUGAGCAACCGGUUUGUCCUCUCCACCAGCCAGGUGCCCACAACCAUGGAGAUGUUCUGCUGUUAUGGACCCGUGGUCCCCAAUGGCUAUGGAGCCUGCUACAACCCCCAGCCCGAGGCCAUCACCUUCUGCAUCUCCAGUUUUCACAGCUGCAAAGAGACCUCGUCUGUGGAGUUUGCGGAAGCUGUGGGAGCGAGCCUUGUUGACAUGAGAGACCUCUGCAGUUCAAGGCAGCCUGCUGACAGCAAGCCACCAGCACCCAAGGAAAAAGCUAGGGGCCC
rnacentral:lncRNA from 1 species